ACGGAAGGCAGCAGUAAGGGAUAUUGGGCAAUGGGGGGAACCCUGACUCAGCCAUGCCGCGUGAGGGAAUGAGGCCCUACGGGUCGUGAACCUCUUUUGCCUGGGGAUAAACCGCCCCGCUGGACGGGGCGCUGCAGGUACCAGGCGAAUAAGCAUCGGCUAACUCCGUGCCAGCAGCCGCGGUAAUACGGAGGAUGCGAGCGCUAUCCGGAUUCAUUGGGUUUAAAGGGUGCGCAGGCGGCGCGUUAAGUCAGCGGUGAAAGGCAGGGGCCCAACCCCGGCAGUGCCGUUGAUACUGGCGCGCUGGAAUGCGGUCGAGGCGGGCGGAAUGUGGCGUGUAGCGGUGAAAUGCAUAGAUAUGCCACAGAACUCCGAUAGCGAAGGCAGCUCGCCAGGCCUGCAUUGACGCUCAGGCACGAAAGCGUGGGGAUCGAACAGGAUUAGAUACCCUGGUA
rnacentral:rRNA from 1 species